UGACUNGAGUGCAGAAGGGGAGAGUGGAAUUCCAUGUGUAGCGGUGAAAUGCGUGGAUAUAUGGAGGUACACCAGUGGCGAAAGCGGCUCUCUGGUCUGUCACUGACGCUGAGGCUCGAAAGCGUGGGUAGCGAACAGGAUUAGAUACCCUGGUAGUCCACGCCGUAAACGAUGAGUGCUAGGUGUUAGGCCCUUUCCGGGGCUUAGUGCCGGAGCUAACGCAAUAAGCACUCCGCCUGGGGAGUACGACCGCAAGGUUGAAACUCAAAGGAAUUGACGGGGGCCCGCACAAGCGGUGGAGCAUGUGGUUUAAUUCGAAGCAACGCGAAGAACCUUACCAGGUCUUGACAUCCCGAUGCUAUUCUUAGAGAUAGGAAGUUACUUCGGUACAUCGGAGACAGGUGGUGCAUGGUUGUCGUCAGCUCGUGUCGUGAGAUGUUGGGUUAAGUCCCGCAACGAGCGCAACCCUUAUUGUUAGUUGCCAUCAUUAAGUUGGGCACUCUAGCGAGACUGCCGGUAAUAAACCGGAGGAAGGUGGGGAUGACGUCAAAUCAUCAUGCCCCUUAUGACCUGGGCUACACACGUGCUACAAUGGUCGGUACAACGAGUUGCGAGCCGGUGACGGCAAGCUAAUCUCUGAAAGCCGAUCUCAGUUCGGAUUGGAGGCUGCAACUCGCCUCCAUGAAGUCGGAAUCGCUAGUAAUCGCGGAUCAGCACGCCGCGGUGAAUACGUUCCCGGGCCUUGUACACACCGCCCGUCACACCACGAGAGUUUGUAACACCCGAAGUCGGUGAGGUAACC
rnacentral:rRNA from 1 species